UGUUCUCCUUAGGCCUGGGUAUAGAACUAUGAUCUGGGUUUGAGACAUAGUAGAACAUUUCACUGAGGGAAAGAGCUGUUGCCAUGCUGGUCACUAGUCUGCUAGGGGCAGCCGCUGCCAUCAUCUGUCUUGGUCUUGGAACUAGCAUGGCCCAGAAGGUAGUUCAAGCUCAGACUGAAAUUUCUCUGCUGGAGAAGAAGGCUGUGACCAUUGACUGCGUGUAUGAAACCCGUGAACCUAGUUAUUCCUUAUUCUGGUACAAACAACCACCGAGUGGAGAAAUGAUUUUUCUUAUUCGUCAGGACUCUUACAGUGAACACAAUGCAACAGAGGGCCGGUAUUCUCUGAGCUUCCAGAAGGCAGCCAAGUCCAUCAGGCUCACUAUCACAGCCUCCCAGCUCGCCGACUCAGCAGUGUAUUUCUGUGCUGGGAGAGAAAACACAGUGAGAGGAAGCCCUUAA